UACGAGGGGUGCAAGCGUUGCUCGGAAUUAUUGGGCGUAAAGGGCAAGUAGGUGGUCUCAUUUGUCUGGGGUGAAAGCCUUGAGCUUAACUCAAGAAGUGCCCCGGAAACGGUGAGACUCGAGUACUGGAGAGGGUCGUGGAAUUCCCGGUGUAGCGGUGAAAUGCGUAGAGAUCGGGAGGAACACCAGAGGCGAAGGCGGCGACCUGGACAGUUACUGACACUCAAUUGCGAAAGCGUGGGGAGCAAACAGG
rnacentral:rRNA from 1 species